ACGUACACUCCUACGGUAGGCAGCAGUGGGGAAUAUUGGACAAUGGGCGCAAGCCUGAUCCAGCCAUGCCGCGUGAGUGAUGAAGGCCCUAGGGUUGUAAAGCUCUUUCACAGGAGAAGAUAAUGACGGUAUCCGGAGAAGAAGCCCCGGCUAACUUCGUGCCAGCAGCCGCGGUAAUACGAAGGGGGCUAGCGUUGUUCGGAAUUACUGGGCGUAAAGCGCACGUAGGCGGAUCGAUCAGUCAGGGGUGAAAUCCCAGGGCUCAACCCUGGAACUGCCUUUGAUACUGUCGAUCUGGAGUAUGGAAGAGGUGAGUGGAAUUCCGAGUGUAGAGGUGAAAUUCGUAGAUAUUCGGAGGAACACCAGUGGCGAAGGCGGCUCACUGGUCCAUUACUGACGCUGAGGUGCGAAAGCGUGGGGAGCAAACAGGAUUAGAUACCCGUGUAGUCC
rnacentral:rRNA from 1 species